ensembl:ncRNA C18A3.23 ncRNA
CUAACCUUGACUGGUACUUAGCUAACUUAAUAGACAUGAAAAGAUGGGCAAAGUGUGCGCCUCACUGACCGCGAAGUUACAUAAUCCGUGGCGGAAGGUUCAAAAACAGAGAA